rnacentral:rRNA from 1 species
CAGCCGCCGCGGGAAUACGAAGGGGGCUAGCGUUGCUCGGAAUGACUGGGCGUAAAGGGCGCGUAGGCGGUGGCCAAAGUCAGGCGUGAAAUUCCUGGGCUCAACCUGGGGGCUGCGCUUGAUACUUGGUUGCUUGAGUGGGGAAGAGGGUCGUGGAAUUCCCAGUGUAGGGGUGAAAUUCGUAGAUAUUGGGAAGAACACCGGUGGCGAAGGCGGCGACCUGGUCCUUGACUGACGCUGAGGCGCGAAAGCGUGGGGAGCAAACAGGAUUAGAGACCCCGGUAGUCCCUGUCUCUUAUAC